UGAGCAGGGGCGUAAGGGUGUGUAGGCCGACCGCCCCACCCCCCCCCAAGGUGGUAAAUGGAAUUCUGUAGCGGUAGAAUGUGCGGAUAGAAAAUAGAACCCCAAAAGCUGAAGCAAUUUACCGCGGGGCGGGAGGGGGGGCCCCCUGGGGCGCCCCCCCGGGCUACGGGCUGAAACACGAGGGUGUGGGGAACAAACAGGAUUAGAGACCCUGGUAGUCCACACUGUAAACGAUGGAGAAAAUGCGAAUGCACCCCGAAAGGCACAAUCUCCCGCCUGAGUAGUACGAUCGCAAGAUUAAAAUUCCAAAAAUUUGGCUGUUCACCGUUUCAUUAGAGGAGCGUGUAGUUUAAUUCGAUAAACCGCGAGAUACCUUACCCAAACUUGAAUCCUUGAGGAUUCCAAGGAAUCCUUAUGGACCGGUAUUGCAUGGCCGUCGUCAGUUCGUGUAUGAAACCUUAAACGGACCCAACCCGAGGAUUAGCCGCGGAUGAAGUCAGGUCUUAUGGUCCCAAUGUUUGGGGAUAAUAUGCGCUCAUUUUCUUAUACAAUGGGAAACCUGGGAGGUGAAACCCAAAAGUGAGAGUUCGGUAGGCUAUUGGAAGAUGGCCGAAAGUUGAAUUAAUAGUAAUCGAA
rnacentral:rRNA from 1 species